UAUAGAAUUUUUGAUCAAUAGGUUGUAUUUUAAUAAACUUUUAAAAUUUUCCAUUUUAGAAAAAUUAUCAUUUUUAGAGAAAAAAAUGAAGAUUUUAGAUUAUGAUUUAGAAACUAGGAUAACAACAAUAUUUGUUGAUAGAUGAGUAUUCUUUUAAAAAAAUUUGGUCAAUAUGUUGUAUUUUUCAAUUAAACUUUUAAAAAUUUCUAUUUUUGGAUAGUUAAUGCUUUUUAGAGAAAAUAAGGCAGAUUUGAGAUUGUCUUUAAGAAAUUAGGAAAACAUGAAUACUUGUUGAUAGAUGAGUAUUAUUAUAGAAUAUUUUAUCAAAAGCUUGUAUAUUCUAAAUAAACUUUUAAUAAUUUACAUUUUUGGAAAGUUAUCACUUUUUUAGAUAAAA
rnacentral:lncRNA from 1 species